rnacentral:rRNA from 1 species
GACGAACGCUGGCGGCGUGCCUAACACAUGCAAGUCGAGCGGGGAUUGUGGAGAGCUUGCUCAAAGCAAUUCUAGCGGCGGACGGGUGAGUAACGCGUGAGCAACCUGCCUUUCACAGGGGGAUAACGCAUCGAAAGAUGUGCUAAUACCGCGUAAGACCACGGUGUCGCAUGACACAGGGGUCAAAGGAGCAAUCCGGUGGAAGAUGGGCUCGCGUCCGAUUAGCUAGUUGGUGAGAUAACAGCCCACCAAGGCGACGAUCGGUAGCCGACCUGAGAGGGUGAUCGGGCCACAUUGGGAACUGAGAGACGGUCCAGACUCCUACGGGAGGCAGCAGUGGGGAAUAUUGGGCAAUGGGCGAAAGCCUGACCCAGCAACGCCGCGUGAGGGAAGAAGGGUUUCGGCUC